rnacentral:rRNA from 1 species
AUGUCCUUGUUCACCUUCAAUCAAGAUUCAGGGAAGAGGAAGGCUCUUGAGGAUGGGCCAUGGAUGUUUGAUAAAGACCUGGUGGUGGUGGAGGAUUAUGUGCCAAGUAGGAGAAUGGAGGAUUAUGCGUUCAACAACAUCCCGGUCUGGGUGCGCGUACUUGGUCUCCCUCUAGGUAUGAUGAGUGAGGACUUGACAGAGGCGAUCGGUAAUACCAUUGGGAGUUUUGUGGAGGCCGACACAGGUAGAGAUGGGAAGGCUGUGGGGAUGUUCAUGAGGGUGAAGGUUAGGAUGUGCAUUGAAAAACCGGUCAUGAGAGGAUUUACUCUUGAAGAUGAUGAUGUGGAGGGAGAGGCUCGACAGAAGAAGAAGAAGGGCAAGGCUGGGGAGGAGGAGGAGGAGGAGGAAGGAAGAUGGUGCAGAUUUGAGUAUGAGUUCCUCCCGGAUUUCUGUUAUACGUGCGGCAUCAUUGAUCAUGGCGAGAAGGAUUGUGCGAAGAAGCUUAAGAGGGGGGAGGAGGCUCAAUUUGGUAGGUGGCUCAAGGUAGAUAUGGGACAGAGGAGGAGAGGUUCUGAUGAUGGUGCUUGGAAGAGUGGAAGCCGGUUGCUGGGAGGGUCCAGAUUCUUUGGGCAGGGGAGAGAUAGUACCAGAUCGGGCAGUGGCAGCGACAGCCUUAACUGGCGCAAGGAUAGCUCUAGGGGGAGUGUAGAGCGGUUGUGA